GUCAGCAUUUAAUUAUUGCCUCACUCUGGCUGCUAUAGUAUUACAACUCUUGGAACGUACAGCAUCGAUCCUACUAUUAAAGUUGCCUGGAGCAUGCCAGCACGUUGGACAUCGGCGUUCCAGCAACUGCCUCAGUCACUGAAUCGAGUGGGAGGCUCAUUUUGCAGUUUACUAUCUCCAUGAGCAGGUCCAGGCGCGGGACCUGUUCUAUGACUCGGUUGGGUCCUGCCCUUGUCCGUCAUCGGAAGGCUUACAGCGCCUACUGUUUUGCAGUAAGAUUUGCAGGCUUAGUACCGCCUCUGGAAACAAGGAGAGUGAAGGGGCGUUGACGAGUAACGUUGUUUGUAUGUCUCUCCUCAUUGGAUGGCUGCUGUGUCAGUCACACUCUUCUCUGCUCCCGUUGGCGGGAAGGCUUCAGGCGGGUAGCGGGGACUCGGUACUGCCCCCUCCCAAGCUGGGAGCAGGGCGCGUGACGUCUCAGACAUUUGUUGUUGGGAUUUGGGCCUCAUUAAUUAUUCAUUAGGUACUUGAAAGCUCUGCAGGGAUUGGUGGCUGAGAGGCCUGGUCGACUGUUUCUUAGCUAGAGGUACGUGUCACCCAGUACGCGGCUGGAGAAGUUUUGCAUAAAUUAUUCCGAUAAGGAGCGGGGCGGGGCUCUGUGCAUAGAUUAGUCAAAUGAGCCUGGGAGGGAGGGAAGCCGGCUACGAAUUAGCCUAAGUUAUUAAAGAUGGCGACGGAGCGCAGUCGCUCCGCGAUGGACUCGCCGGUCCCGGCCUCUAUGUUCGCCCCCGAGCCCAGCUCCCCGGGGGCGGCCAGGGCCGCGGCGGCCGCCGCCCGACUCCACGGCGGCUUUGACUCGGACUGCAGCGAGGACGGCGAGGCGCUCAACGGCGAGCCAGAACUGGACCUCACCAGCAAGCUGGUUCUAGUGAGCCCUACAUCAGAGCAGUAUGACAGCCUACUUCGGCAGAUGUGGGAGAGGAUGGACGAGGGAUGCGGAGAGACCAUAUAUGUCAUUGGGCAGGGAUCAGAUGGGACUGAGUAUGGGCUGAGUGAAGCUGACAUGGAGGCCUCCUACGCCACAGUGAAGAGCAUGGCGGAACAGAUAGAGGCCGAUGUCAUCCUUCUGCGGGAACGGCAAGAAGCUGGGGGCCGCGUGCGUGAUUACCUGGUCCGGAAACGAGUAGGAGACAAUGACUUCCUGGAGGUCAGAUGUAUGGGUUCAUCUACACGCAGGGUAGCAGUGGUGGGCAACGUGGAUGCUGGCAAAAGCACGCUUCUGGGGGUCCUGACACAUGGGGAACUGGACAAUGGCCGAGGCUUUGCCCGCCAGAAACUCUUCCGCCACAAACAUGAAAUUGAAUCUGGUCGCACCAGCAGUGUGGGCAACGACAUUCUGGGCUUUGACAGUGAAGGCAAUGUAGUGAACAAGCCUGACAGCCACGGCGGGAGCCUGGAGUGGACCAAGAUCUGUGAGAAGUCCACGAAAGUCAUUACCUUCAUCGACUUGGCUGGUCAUGAGAAGUACCUGAAAACCACUGUCUUCGGCAUGACAGGCCAUCUGCCUGACUUCUGCAUGCUCAUGGUGGGCAGCAAUGCUGGCAUCGUGGGGAUGACCAAAGAACACCUGGGCUUGGCACUGGCACUCAAUGUACCUGUCUUUGUGGUAGUCACCAAGAUUGACAUGUGUCCUGCCAACAUCCUGCAAGAAACCCUGAAGCUGUUACAGCGCCUGCUGAAGUCACCAGGCUGCCGGAAGAUCCCCGUGCUGGUGCAGAGCAAAGAUGAUGUGAUUGUCACAGCCUCCAACUUCAGCUCUGAAAGGAUGUGCCCGAUAUUCCAGAUCUCCAACGUUACAGGGGAGAACCUAGAUCUGCUGAAGAUGUUCCUCAACCUCCUCUCCCCCCGCACCAGCUACAGGGAGGAGGAGCCUGCUGAGUUUCAGAUUGAUGACACCUACUCCGUCCCGGGUGUGGGGACAGUGGUUUCGGGGACAACACUGAGAGGCCUGAUCAAGCUGAAUGACACGCUGCUGCUGGGCCCAGACCCCUUGGGUAACUUCCUGUCCAUUGCUGUCAAAUCCAUCCAUCGCAAGCGCAUGCCUGUCAAGGAGGUGCGGGGUGGCCAGACAGCAUCCUUUGCACUGAAGAAGAUCAAGCGCUCGUCCAUCCGGAAGGGCAUGGUGAUGGUUUCCCCACGUUUGAAUCCCCAAGCCUCCUGGGAGUUUGAGGCCGAGAUUCUUGUCCUCCACCACCCCACCACAAUUAGCCCGCGCUACCAGGCCAUGGUGCACUGUGGGAGCAUCAGGCAGACAGCCACCAUUCUGAGCAUGGACAAGGACUGUCUGCGCACUGGGGACAAGGCCACUGUACACUUCCGCUUCAUCAAGACCCCUGAGUACCUGCACAUAGACCAGCGGCUGGUGUUCCGGGAAGGCCGCACCAAGGCUGUCGGCACCAUCACCAAGCUCCUCCAGACCACCAACAACUCCCCAAUGAACUCCAAGCCGCAGCAGAUUAAAAUGCAGUCGACGAAAAAGGGCCCCCUGACGAAACGAGACGAGGGGGGCCUGUCUGGUGGGCCAGCAGUAGGAGCACCCCCACCUGGAGAUGAAGCCUCCUCUGUAGGGGCUGGGCAACCAGCUGCGUCCAGCAAUCUCCAGCCUCAGCCUAAGCCCAGCAGUGGAGGCCGGCGACGAGGGGGCCAGCGCCACAAGCCAUGAUGAGGAGCAGCCCUGGGCCAGGUGCCGCGGUCAGUAUGAGAGGCUCCAGGAUCAGGCUAGAGAACCACCCGAACCAGUCACAGGUCCAAGGGGCAAAUAGCGACUUCCCAUGGAGGAGAAUCACUGCACUCCAAGUGGACAUGGCUGGUAGGAAGCUUCCCUCAUGCUGCCCUUCUGGAAGGUGCCUUCCCCUGUGCUGACAUCUGCAGGAUGCGUGUUACACCCCAUUUGGAUAUCACAUCUUGAGCUGUGGGAAAGGAGAGCAGGGCUUCCCUCUCUGAACCCCAUGCCUGGCAGGGUAAGUGCCCAGGGAGCACCUGCUGCCUGGAUGGGGAGUCUGCACCACUUCUGCUAGCACAGCAGCAUCCCGUACCUGAAAGUGAAACGUCUGAAUAGGCUCGCCGUCCUGAUCGUAAGUGAACUUGCCAAGGAGUGUCCCCUCCUGCUGCAGGUCUUCGUCAAACCCCUGCAAAGAGAGCGGAGGGAAGUGGGGAGGGGCUGGAGCAGGGAGAACACCCCUCCCCACUCCAAUCCCUGCUCCUCCCACCCAGCAGGUCAGGCACCAGAGUGGCCUAUGACAAGUCACUUCACUCUCUUGUGCCACAGUUUCUGCCUCCAAAGCCUAAGGUAACAGGGACUGAAGUGCUGUCUCCCACCCUAGCUCCUCCUCUUCCAAAUCCACUCCCCUCCCUUCCAGUCCAAGGGUGACCCUGACUUGAUCCUCAGUAGAGAGGCCCACAGGAUCCUCCUGCAGCCCCUCCGGCCCCACCACAGGACAGAUACUCACAAAGAUGGCGAAGUCCUUGGGGGCACUGGAGAUAGUGCUGUUGGGUGACAAGGCCUUGGGCACAUGCUCUAAGGUAACGGCCGUGGGGCGGAUGCGGGCAGAGAGGCGGACCACAGCGAAGCCCUGUGGCCCCUGGAAGGCCCAGCAGUUGCCUGGGUGCACAUCUGGCUGGAGGAGCAGAAAGUCAUGUCAGGACAGGGCCCUGAGUCCAGCUCUUGCUGACCCCAGAUGGGACCAGCCCCCAGUGUGCUCAGAGCCCCCGCUGCUGUACUUGCCAGGUGCCCACCUGGAGGAUGACUCGGGGUGACUGGGAAUGGUACCACAGGGGGAUGCCGAAGAGGCUGAGGAGGGCCGUCUUGGUCUCGUAGGUCUCAGAACAUCGGGUGCUGAUGACGCUGGCCCCUGAGACAGGAGAGGAAGGCAGGGUGGGCUCCCGCACGGGAGGAGGGCCCCGCUCAGGCCAUUGGCUGUCUCCUCGCUGAAGGUGGACGGCAGAUGCCCCAGGCCUAGCCUUUAACCCUAACCGAGACGCUCAGAGCAGCUUUAAAGGUCAGCCUCUCCCUGGCCCAGGAUGGUGCUCGGUACCUCCUGACUUCCCUGAAUUGCCACUUGCCUUUGUGAUGGGUACUAGGUUGGGUGAUUUCUGCUGAUCCUGAGCUUUGCUUGCUCUGCCCCACCACCAACCUGGUAGAUGCCAGGGGACCGGCCAUUGUGGGGUCCAGGACAAGGCAGAGCGAGGAAAGCAGGGCACGUACCUCCUGACUCCAGGGCGUAGUCUGCCAGCCCGAUGCGGUCCUCACUGUAGCGCUGCAGGGCCUGCUUCACAAUGUGGUGCACCUGCUGCAAUGCAGGCACCAGGAGACAGUUGCAGCAGGGAGCAGACGUGUCCCCCUGUCACCUCGUGGCCGUGGGCCAAGGACCCAUGGGCUGACCCCUUCUAGGCUUGCACUGUGCUGGUGCCCAGGCAGAUGUGGGCACACUGCCACCCACCCAUGCCAGCCCCACAGCAUACAAAGCCUCCUGCUUGGCACUUCCAUCCUGGAACCUGCCAGGGAGCUGGCAGUGUGGGACUGUCCAGGGCUCCCAGGGAGGAGAGCUGUGGGUGGGUGUGUGGAGAGGGGCAUAUGGGCCUCACCUCCUCUGUCACUCCAAUCACACCUUCUUUCUGCAGCGUCAGGCCCAGGGAGGCCGCGGCUUCCCUGGCCGACUUGCCCUGCAUCUCUGCCACAUGGGUGAGGAUCUUGCUCUCCAGCUCUCGCAGCUGAGCUUGCAUCUCCUCUCUCUGAAGGAGCCCCACGCGGCCCCCUCCACCUCGGGCAAGGAACUGACUGAUCCAGGCCGGGAACUGAGAUUCCACCUAUAGGAACCCAAAGGGGUGUCACCCUGGGGUGCUUGCAGGGACAGCAGGAGCUGCUAUGACAGGGCCAGUGCUUAGCUGGAUAGCAGGGAUAGGGUAGGAGGGAGGCUACUGGAGGAAAGAGUUAUGAACACUCCAUGGGCACUAACAAAAACAGGAAGAACGCCUGUCAGUGAGAGCCCACAUGUGUCAAGGCCAACGCCACAGUCUCUUGGGCAUAACAGAGGCUGCAGGGGCAAGGGGUGCCUGCUUUGCAGGCCCCAGGACACGUGGUCUCAAAGGAGGAGGAGAGGGACCAGCAGGGCCCUGGUGGUUCCCACUCACGUCGUCCCGCAUGGCCUGGAUCUGCUGGGGCAGCAGGCCCACUUCAUCCGCCACCGAGCUCUGCUUCAGUGCCAGAGCCGCCAGCUCCUGCUGCAGGCCGGCCAGCUGGUCCUCCAGCCGCCUCAGCUCCUUCACAGAGCUCUCCCGGAAGGACUCCUGGGUCAUGCUGGUCCCAGAGAGAGAAGAGUAAGCCUCGGAUCUCUUUGGUGGGAGGUAAGGCCACACCAAAGAUGAAAGAGGACCCCCUAGUGGGCUCCCGUCAUGAGAGCGGGUGCCCAGCACUCAUUGUGAACCUGAGAAGGGGCAAGGCCUCUCCUGGGGGUUCUGGCUGCAGAACCCCUGCCUGUCCCAAGGAGCUAAUUCUGAGCCUGCCCCCUUUCUAAGCCCAGAGUCCAGAAUGUACUCUGCCUCAGCCUCUCACAUCCUCCACAAGCAUGGACAUCUGGGGCAUGAGAAGGCAGUUAUGUGAGGCUGUAAGAAAGGACGCUGUGUCUAUAAAUGAAUCCCGGUCCUCUCACAGGGCCUGCCCCCCCGCCCUCAGGACUCCCCUGCUAACCUCCAUGGCACCUCAAAGACAGGCCCUGGGCAGGGGUCCUGAGCUGGGUUUCAACCCCUCCCCCCACCAUCUGCUUGGCAAGACGAUCAGAACUCUCUGCUCUGCGGCUCUGCUCCCUAGUCCUGCCUGGAGAGUGGGUGGGGCUGGGGAGGAGCAGGCCGAGGCCAGCUGGUGGCGCCCAGUACCUUUGCCACUCUGACUUCAGCUGCUGGAUGCGAGCCUCGGACUCCUGUGUAGGAAGAAGGGACAAAUACAAGAAAUACCCAUCUCAGAAAUUGGUGUUCCAAGCUCAGAAAUUGGUGUUCCAGAGUAGGAUCUGCUGUCUGUUGGCGUCUUUGCUUAACCACACCCCUGCCCAAGGUCUCUUGACCCCUGCAGCAAAAAUCAAACUGGCCUCCUGGUCAAAGCCCUCAUGAGUCUUGUCCAUGUCUGACACACUGAGGUAUCCAUUCACCUACACUCAGUACGUGCACACCAGCAUGACAGGCCGCUGUUCCCUGGCACACCCCAGGGAGCCCCUGCACAGCCCUCCAACUAAGGGGUCGGGGGUCAAACAGAGAAGUCAGAGGAGGGCACACCCCUCCCCAUGCAACACCCAAACAGUCCCUUUGGAAGGGCCGAGGGGUCCGAGGUGAACAUGUUGGAUGGGGUCAGGACCCAGUCACAGGCCCUGAGUGCCGCAAGCCCGCUGACCUGGGAGGCCCGGACGAUCUUCUUGAAGAGGUCUUCUGAGUCUUGCUGAUGCUCUGCUCUCAGGGCAGACAGUUCUUCCUGUGAGACGGGAGUGAGAGGACAGGUCGGACAGAGCCAUGCUUAUAGGGACCCUCAUGACUAGGAAGUGGCGGAACUGGAAUUCAAACAAGGUCUGUUUGCUUCCAGAGCCCUGGCUCUCAGCCUUCUCUGAACCACGCAAGACUCCCGCUUCAGCUCCACUGCACACCUGUGCGGUGUCAGGCACCAUGCUGGGGCUUUCUACUCGCACAGGUCACUAUGGGGGUGGGGGAGACACGAUGGCCUUCAUCAAAGAGGAGGAAACUGAGGCUUAGAGAAGGUGAGGAGGCCUGGCGUGGUGGCUCACGCCUGUAAUCCCAGGACUUUGGGAGGCCAAGGCAGGCAGAUCACUAGAGGUCAGGAGUUCGAGACCAGCCUGGCCAACUUGGUAAAACCCUGUCUCUACUAAAAAUACAAAAAAAUUAGCUGGAUGUGGUGGUGCAUGCCUGUAAUCCAGCUACUCGGGAGGCUGAGGCAAGAGAAUCGCUUGAACCUGGGAGGCACAGGUUGUAGUGAGUCGAGAUCACGCCACUGCACUCCAGGCUGGGUGACAGAGUGAGAUAUUGUCUCAGAAAAAAAAGAAAAAGAGAAAGGGAGUAACUGCCAAAUGGCAGAGCUGUCUGAUCCCAAAUGACACUUGUUCUCUCUCCUGCUGGGCACCUUCACGCUUUCCUAUGGGUGUCACCCACCUCCCACCCUGAGGUAUUCCACCUCCUACCUGGAUGUGAGCAGCAGUUUCCCGGCGGAAAUCCUCCUUCAGGGCAGCUUCACGGCGGCUCACUAGCCCCUCCAGCAGCGCCAGGGUGUCCUCGUGGCUCAGGCCACCACCACCUCCCUGGCCAGGAGCCCCUUGCCGCAGCUCCAGACGUUCCAGCCGCAUGGCCUCCUUCUGCCAGCUGGAGGAAAAUUCAGCAGCAAGAGCUUCCAGACGCCGCUCCAGAGAGUGUACCCGGGACAUAACACGCUGCUCAGCCUGGAAGGGCAGAGAGAGAGCCACGGAGUGAGGGACCCUUGGAUGAUAGUGCUUCCCAAAGACCACCCUGACACAGCCAACACAGAAAGAAAGGGAAAAGAUUCCAGAGACGUUCCAGCAUAAGGCCAUGCAGGGCUGGCUGGAGCUCGUGGGCAGGGGCUGCCGACCUCUGAGCUGGGUGUGCUGGGAGCCGGGGAUCACUGGGUGCCGGCCACAGAGGAGGGUCCCUGAGGACACAGUACCGAAGUCUGAUCCCAGAGGAGGAAGGAAGGUGGGCCGGGGAGAAGGUCUGAGUGCAGGGAUGGUCCAAGAGGAGGACUGGAAGCUGCAGGAUGGCUGCAGGGGGCCGUGGACCCUGCUGGCCUGAAGCUCACUCCUUCCCCGCCUCCUACAGGGGCAGGGGAGCCAGGGCUGCGAGUUCUGUCUGUGGACUCUCAAUGGCUUUCACUCCUUCCCUAGGUAACUAUGGCUAAGAGACAGAAUAAUUUGAAAAUACGUUCUUUUUCCUCUUAGGCUGGAUGUCCCACAGAGAAAAUGGAAUAAAUGUCAUUUGGACUGAG